rnacentral:rRNA from 1 species
CAGUCGCCGCGGGAAUACAGAGGGUGCAAGCGUUAAUCGGAAUUACUGGGCGUAAAGCGUGCGUAGGCGGUUUGUUAAGUCUGCUGUGAAAUCCCCGGGCUCAACCUGGGAAUGGCAGUGGAUACUGGCAAGCUAGAGUGUGUCAGAGGAUGGUGGAAUUCCCGGUGUAGCGGUGAAAUGCGUAGAGAUCGGGAGGAACAUCAGUGGCGAAGGCGGCCAUCUGGGACAACACUGACGCUGAGGCACGAAAGCGUGGGGAGCAAACAGGAUUAGAUACCCCUGUAGUCCCUGUCUCUUAUCC